rfam:Oryza sativa Japonica Group DNA, chromosome 11, cultivar: Nipponbare, complete sequence.
UUUAAGUGCAACUAUAAGUUUCCGUGCCCAACUUUGAUCGUUCGUCUUAUUUAAUUUUUUUUAUAAUUAGUAUUUUUAUUGCUAUGAGAUGAUAAAACAUGAAUAGUACUUUAUAUGUGACUUAUGUUUUUAAAUUUUUUAAAAAAAUUUUCAAAUAAGACGGAUAGUCAAAAAGUCGUGCAUGGAAAAUCAUAUCUGCACUUAAA